GUGCCCGUCCACCGAACGGUCGGCAGGCGAUCCGCGUCGGUCGCGCUGGGUGGUAUGGUUCCCCAGAGGCCGGUUCUUGUGCUGCCUACCCCUUCAGGGGAAGAGUUCCAAACUCGAUGUAAGCCUCCAUCCGGCGCCCUCCAAGGGGCGCGGGAGGACAACGGAGCACCCCCCGCGUUCCACCGAGCCUCCUCGGUCGCGUGGCCCGCGGGGACGUGCGAUGCUCUCGGACCCAGCGAACGCCGUGGGCGAGGACUCACGUCCCGGUCCCAAGUGAAGCAACGGUAUAACGCACGACGGCCGCCCCCGCCCCCCGACCGCCCCGGCGGCGCGGGGGCGAAGGCGCGGCGUCGCUGAGGAAUGCU
rnacentral:misc_RNA from 1 species